AAAGCCCCGCAAGGGGCAAGUAGAGUGGCAAACGGGUGAGUAACACGUGGGUGACCUGCCUUCGAGCGGGGGAUAACGUCCCGAAAGGGACGCUAAUACCGCAUAACAUCCUGCCUUUGAAGAGGUGGAGAUCAAAGCCGGGGAUCGCAAGACCCGGCACUUGAAGAGGGGCCCGCGUCUGAUUAGCUAGUUGGUGGGGUAAUGGCCUACCAAGGCAACGAUCAGUAUCCGGCCUGAGAGGGCGGACGGACACACUGGGACUGAGACACGGCCCAGACUCCUACGGGAGGCAGCAGUGGGGAAUUGUUCGCAAUGGGCGCAAGCCUGACGACGCAACGCCGCGUGGAGGAUGAAGAUUUUCGGAUCGUAAACUCCUGUCGAAUGGGACGAAUAGAUUGCGGGUUAACAGCCCGCGGUCCUGACGGUACCGUUAAAGGAAACCCCGGCUAACUCCGUGCCAGCAGCCGCGGUAAUACGGGGGGGGUAAGCGUUGUUCGGAAUUACUGGGCGUAAAGGGCUCGUAGGCGGCCAACUAAGUCAUACGUGAAAUCCCUCAGCUUAACUGGGGAACUGCGUGUGAUACUGGAUGGCUUGGAUUUGGGAGAGGGAUGCGGAAUUCCAGGUGUAGCGGUGAAUGCGUAGAUAUCUGGAGGAACACCGGUGGCGAAGGCGGCAUCCUGGACCAAUAUUGACGCUGAGGAGCGAAAGCCAGGGGAGCAAACGGGAUUAGAUACCCCGGUAGUCCUGGCCCUAAACGAUGAAUGCUUGGUGUAGCGGGUAUCGAUCCCUGCUGUGCCGAA
rnacentral:rRNA from 1 species